GCGCCGUUAGCUCAGUUGGUAGAGCAGCUCCCUCUUAAGGAGAUUGUCGGGGGUUCAAAUCCCUCACGGCGCACCA
rnacentral:tRNA from 4 species